CUUUGGGUCCACUCUGCUUUUAUGAGCUGUAACACUCACCGCGAAGGUCUGCAGCUUCACUCCUGAAGCCAGUGAGACCACGAGCCCACCUGGAGGAAGGAACAACUCCAGAGGCCCUGCCUUAAGAGCUGUAACACUCACCGCGAAGGUCUGCAGCUUCACUCCUGAAGCCAGCGAGACCACGAGCCCACCUGGAGGAACAAACAACUCCAGAGGCGCCGCCUUAAGAGCUGUAACACUCACCGCGAAGGUCUGCAGCUUCACUCCUGAGCCAGCGAGACCACGAACCCACCAGAAGGAAGAAACUCCGAAAACAUCUUAACAUCAGAAGGAACAAAUUCCAGACGCGCCAUCUUAAGAGCUGUAACACUCACCGCGAGGGGCGUGGCUUCAUGCUUGAAGUCAGUGAGACCAAGAACCCACCAAUUCUGGACACAUUAUGACCUUUGUUUCCUGCCAUGGAAGAAAAUUUAAAUUCCCAGGCUGAAGAAGCAAAUUAGGCCUCUCAAGCAGAAACCAACAGCUUUGGAGACCAGAAGCCCCAAAUCAAGCUAUCAGCAGGGAAGUACUACCUCUGGAAGAUGCAAUGAAGAAUGCUUUUUUCCCUCUUCUGGCUUCUGGCGGCUCUGUAUUACUUGGCUUCCUUGGCUUGUGGCUACAUCACUCCAAUCUCUGUCUCAGUCUUCACAUUGCCUUUUCCUCUAUGUGGGUAUCUUUUGUUACAUCUUCUGCCACUUAUAAGAACAUUUUAGAUUUAGGGCCUACCAGGUAAUUCAGGAUGUUCUGAUCUCAAGAUCUUUAAUUAUAUCUGCAUAUAUAUUUUUUCAAAUAAGGCUUUCAGGUUCACUGAUGCUAGAGAUUCAGAUGUGGACCUGCCUUGUUGGGGGCUAUGGAUAAAACCACUAGAGUUUAUAGAGCUAUGGAGGAUAAUUUAAAAUAAUAUUGAAUGCCAAAUUUUACCCUCACUUACUCAUUUAUCAUUGAUUCCAUCAAUCUCUCAGCAAAUACAAUAGAAUAUCCACUACGUAUGUUCCAAUCCUCAAGAUAGGCACUGGUGAAAUACAAAAGAACAGGCAAAAAUUAAUGUCUCUAUAAAGCUCAUAAGUUGAUUACCUAAAAAGCGUAUAAUUUAUAAAAUAUUUAUUUUGCUUCUUGAAAACCGGAAGGAGUUUAUAGGAAUGAAUGCAGGAGGAAAUGACACCUGAGUUGAGCAGUAAGAGUGUAUCACAAACUCAUGAAAAAUUUCAUAGAUGUCUCAGAAGAAGCAGUGAAAAAUAUUGGUUCUGAGAAGCAAUCAUCAGCCAAUAGUUUUGGCUGAUUUCUGGUAUCACUCAUGAGAGACCUGACAGCUCAUCCUUCCAUAACAAACUACGUUGAGUUCAUCACCUGACAGUUGCCUCACUGUUAUGUUUGAUUUCCAAACUCAAAUUACUUCUGGACUUCUGGUUUGUUGACCUUCUGCACUUAUUCGCAAUAAGCAACUUCUCGUCAGUACACUUCUACAACUCAAGCCCAUAUCAUUGCUAGUCGUAGCUACCAACCUAAACUGAAAAGUCAGAACAAAAAACACAGAAAAGCAGAAUGAACAAACUGUCACUUGAGGGAUGACUGCCCAGCUGUCCAUCAAAUGACACUCUAGGAUAAAGCCAGUGUGUAUGUCUGAGAUCACAAGGAGGGAAGUUGUGAAAUGGACAUCGUUUUUAUUUCCAGGUGCACAGCGAUAUCAGGUAUCUCAGAUAACAGAAUUUCCAACUUCAGAUAUCUCUUACCUAUUGAAUUCUUUUUUUCACAUUUUUAUCAAGCUUUAUUUACACACUGUUGACAAUAUAGUUGUAAUUUGGUUGUUAGACAUAUUGUUUUUUAAAAGUGAGGUGUGUACUGUAAUC
rnacentral:lncRNA from 10 species